rfam:Gossypium arboreum cultivar AKA8401 contig_223_5, whole genome shotgun sequence.
AACCAAUGAUCAAUCAUUUUUAAAUUAGUUCCUUAAAACGCUCACAUGCUUCAUAUAAUGUUUCAUCUUCAAAUUGCCUAAAUGAUGUAAUGUCAUUCCUAAGCUU